GUGUCUGGGGGUGAAUAGGUGUUCUCAGGGGUGAAGGGGGGUGUGUGGGGUGCCUGGGGUUGGCACAGGGUUGAAUAAGGGCUCUCAAGGGUGGCACGGAGGGUGGUCAAGCACUGGCCCAGGCUGCCCAGGGCAGUGGGGGAGUCACCAUCACUGGCAACAUUCAAAGAAUGAGUAGGCAUCAGAGCAGCAGCAAGGGACAGCCCUGCCUAGCCAUGGGAAAAGCCACAUGGGAUGCUCCACACAAUCCAAAGUCAGGGUGGUCACACAGACCCCGGCUCCGGUCUGUGUCUCCACUUACACUGAGGAAGCACCUUCCUCAGAUUCGUUUUACCCAGUGAAAUGUGACCAUUCCCAGGUGCCACAUCAGCCCUGUCAGCAGCAGGAGAGCACACACACAGCCCAGCCACCACCCUCAGCAUCAGUCCCCAGGCACAGAGGGUUUCUUUCAGGCUCUUUUUUCAGUUGCACAUUUGGGCAUUGCUUUAGUGUGGUUUUAAGGCCAGAGUGUUGGAUUCAGGAAGCACUUUGCAUUUCAGAUCCUGGCAUUUUAAUAUUAAAGACGUGAUACUCAGCUCUGGCACCCACAGCUGGGGCUGCACAGCUCCUCCCAGGGCACAGAGCACAGACUUUGCUACCAACUCCCUAUUCCCUGGGUGACCUGCAGGAGAAACACAUAAAUCCUCUGAUGAGCAGGGCCAGGGCAGAGGAAGAGUCUCAGCUUCCUGAAGAGGAGAUUUUCCCUUCAGAUUAAGCUGCCUGUCACCUCACCUCCCACUGCAGCUGAGGAAGCAAAGCCCUGAGCCCACCCAGGGUCAUUUUGAAGAGCCAAACCCCACAAAAUGGGGAGGGAAAACUGCCCCCUCAUCUCACACUGAGCAAAGCCUUUGAGAUGCUUCAAGCCCUGUCCACCAACACUGCAGGGACGGAGCAGUGUCCAGCAGCUUGUUGUGAACCCACAGCACAGAACCUUUGGACUCGAGAGCCAAAUCAACUCCAUCCUCAGCUUCUGCUCACAGACCACAGCUGGAGGGCUUGGAGAGAGGAAGGACAACAGGCACUGAAUGCAAUGGAAACCUGAAAUAUGGGGCCUCAGAAUUAAAGGGCUCAGGUCUCUGGGCUCCAGGCUGGUGGAUGGCACCAGGGGAGCUGCAGCAGAAGUGAAUCGUUCCUACUGCACCAUCUGCCUCUGACAGCUUUCCUUCCAAAGGACCAGCAUUUACUCAGCAUCCAGACUCCAAUGCCUCCAGGGGCAAGUGAAGCAACACACAGCAAGGACAGUGACCCACCUUCCCCUGGCUGAAUUCCUUCUCUGCCAAAAGCAUCUCCUCUUCUAGAGGUGAUGGUGGCUGCAGAAGGGUGAAACCCUUCUCAGAGCUAUUUUAGCUACUCCAAGUCAAGCCUAGAAGUUUCAGGACAAGGAUUUGGUGGCAAGAUGCUGCUCUCCAGCAGCUUUAUGUGCUUAGAAGACAGUUCCCACCCAGAAAACAUGCCCAGGAGCUCCAACACAUUUCUGCAAGGCCUUCAGAUGCUACUGGAAAAAAACAGGCCAUGUCAUUUGCAGCAGCACCUUAAAAGUGGGGAGAAAAUAAUCAAAGGCAAGAGGUACAAAGCCAGAAGUGCAAUUUAUUGACAAGUUUCAGAAGUAAAAAGACUCAGCAUCUCUGCUCCUCAUGAACUGGAUGUCUGAGCUCUUUCAAAGCACCUUCACCCACCAGCUCAGAGCGGUGUCAUGCUUUCAUCUUCAGAAGUUGAAGUCUUGCUUCUCCACUGAGAAAUCAUACAGCCCAUCUUGGCCAGUCUGAGGCUCCAGGUCUGAGUUUUCCUGUGAGGAAAGUGAUAUCAAUCAGUUAUAGGGUCUGCAUCUGAAUAAACCUAAGUUUUUUUU